GACGAACGCUGGCGGCGUGCUUAACACAUGCAAGUCGAACGAUGAAGCCGGAGCUUGCUCUGGUGAAUUAGUGGCGAACGGGUGAGUAACACGUGAGUAACCUGCCCUUGACUCUGGGAUAACUGCUAGAAAUGGUAGCUAAUACCGGAUACGACCCUCGGAGGCAUCUUCAGGGGGUGGAAAGAAUUUCGGUCAAGGAUGGACUCGCGGCCUAUCAGCUAGUUGGUGAGGUAAUGGCUCACCAAGGCGACGACGGGUAGCCGGCCUGAGAGGGUGACCGGCCACACUGGGACUGAGACACGGCCCAGACUCCUACUGGAGGCAGCAGUGGGGAAUAUUGCACAAUGGGCGCAAGCCUGAUGCAGCAACGCCGCGUGAGGGAUGACGGCCUUCGGGUUGUAAACCUCUUUUAGUAGGGAAGAAGCGAAAGUGACGGUACCUGCAGAAAAGCACCGGCUAACUACGUGCCAGCCGCCGCAGUAA
rnacentral:rRNA from 1 species